rnacentral:ncRNA from 1 species
CGCGGCAGAUGCGGUAACGCAAACGAACCCGAAGACGCUGGCGGGGGCCCUGGGAAGAGUUCUCUUUUCUUUUUAACGAGCUUUCACCCUGAAAUCAGCUUGCCUGGAGAUAGGGUUUAAUGCUCGGUAAAGCACCACACUUCUUGUGGUGUCCGGUGCGCUCUCGACGGCCCUUGAAAAUUCGGGGAAGACAUUGAUUUUCGUGUCCGGUCGUACUCAUAACCGCAGCAGGUCUCCAAGGUGAGCAGCCUCUGGUUGAUAGAACAAUGUAGGUAAGGGAAGUCGGCAAAAUAGAUCAAAAGUACUUUGAAAAGAGAGUUAAAAAGUACGUGAAACCGUUAUAAGGGAAACGAAUGGGGUCAGCAAUGCGUCGUGCGAGAUUCAGCCGGUGGGUGGGCCAGGCUGGCGGUUGGCGGAUCUGAAUGGACCGCUGCCGUUCGGGUUGGUUUCCCGACCGUCGCACUUCUCGCAGGCGCGCGCCAAGGUCGGUUAGGGCUGGGUCUCAAAGGCGGUGGAAAGGUAGGUUUGGACUCUCGGGCCCGAACUGUUACAGUCCUCCGUUUGUCAUGGCCCGGACCUGACCGAGGAGCUUGCGGUGCAUGCCGUUUGGCUAGGGUCCCGUCUUCCCGGUCGGUCGUCGAAUGCGGUGGACUGCGUGCAGUGCGCCGCGACUGCUGCCGGUCGCGAGGGCGGCGAUUUCGUACUAUGCACCCACGACGUUGGUGGUCAUAUGGCCUCAUCCGACCCGUCUUGAAACACGGACCAAGGAGUCUAACAUGUGUGCGAGUCUUUGAGUGAUCGAAACUCCGAGGCGUAAUGAAAGUGAAGGCGACUCCGGUCGCUGAGGUGAGAGCCUUUUACAAAAAAAGGCGCAUCAUUGACCGACCUAUUCUACUCUUAGAAAGGUUUGAGUAAGAGCGCAUCUGUUGGGACCCGAAAGAUGGUGAACU